GGAAAGAUAAGAGGGGAUGAUGGGAGGGAAGAGUAACAAAAGUGAAAACCAAACUAAAAACUUAAAUUUAUUUGAAAUUGUUUUCACUUGUGUUACUCCUCCUUUUCAUCUUCCCUUCUCAUCCUUACUC
rnacentral:miRNA from 1 species